UGUUCUUGGUCUGGGCAAAGUGUCAUCAACUUCAUGGUUCUCAUAUUAAAUCAGCCAGGGGCAAAAAAAUUCCAUAUAAAAAAACACAUGGCUUUUGAUCUAUGCCUAUGUUUGGUUCAUGCCUUGGGCACAUGU